rnacentral:rRNA from 1 species
UGGGGAAUAUUGCACAAUGGAGGGAACUCUGAUGCAGCGACGCCGCGUGAACGAAGAAGGCUUUCGAGUCGUAAAGUUCUUUUAUAUGGGAAGAUAAUGACGGUACCAUAAGAAGAAGCCCCGGCUAACUACGUGCCAGCAGCCGCGGUAAUACGUAGGGGGCUAGCGUUGUCCGGAAUCACUGGGCGUAAAGGGUUCGCAGGCGGAAAUGCAAGUCAGGUGUAAAAGGCAGUAGCUUAACUACUGUAAGCAUUUGAAACUGCAUAUCUUGAGAAGAGUAGAGGUAAGUGGAAUUUUUAGUGUAGCGGUGAAAUGCGUAGAUAUUAAAAAGAAUACCGGUGGCGAAGGCGACUUACUGGGCUCAUUCUGACGCUGAGGAACGAAAGCGUGGGUAGCGAACAGG